GCGCAUGCGCGGGGACGUGGCGUUACGUGGCGGCUCGAAGGGCGAAGGCAAAAGGGGAGAGAGGGAGUCCGGGCCGCAGGCCACACCCACCAGUCCGGGGGCGCAGACCACGCCCACCAGCAGGCCUGCCACCACAGGGGCACGCCCCCUCCUCCUCCUUGCUCUGCUCCGUGCCGCUGGUCGCGGUCACCCACGUGGUCGCAGCCCUGCCCAGUCGGCUCGGGAGGCUCUGAUUAGACUACGCGCUUCGGCUGGUAGGUGUUUUGUCGCGGAGCGGGACGGACUGCAAGCUGUCAAACCUGAGGGCUUAUUUUGUUGAGUCGAAAGUGAAAUUUUCCUUUGACCAGCGUGACAGGAAGGAGCCUGUUCACUGGUGGUGAUGUGGAUCGAACCUCUCACAAACUAUGCAGAUAGAUGCCUUUCUGCUGAGCCACAUUCUCACCCUCACCGCCCCCUUUUAUACCAAAAGACACAGUCUUUUCCCUUUUCCUUCAAUAAGUAUUUGCUGCGUCAGGCUCUGUUCUGUUUGGAAGCUUUGGUUUGUGUGAUGUGGGGAAGAGCAAAAGGAAACAGCAGCUGGGAGGCUUUCCGCAUGGAGGCAGGUCAGGUUCAAGGUCCUUGCCAGAGCUGAGGCUCCAUUUACAGACCUCUCAGCUGAGGCCACCCCUUGCAGUUGCUUACAGGUUACUCCCCUGCGCGUCUCCUGCCCUGCUUCCCUCACACAUCGUCUGCUUAAUUCUCCACCUGGUCCUGGCUCGCAAGGCCGAGGAGUGACACAAUUUAAUUCUUACACGUCAGCCAAGAACAAGUAUUGCUUCUGCUUUGUGCAAAAGAAUAUAUAUAUUUCUUAAGAUAUAUAUAUAUUUACAUAUAUUUCUUAAGUUAUAUAUAUAUAACUUUUUAUGAUGAAAAAUUAACUUUCUGUUUCUUACGUGGAAUUAAAUAUGUCCUCGGCUACUGCAGCUUUUGUUUAUGUUGACCGGUCGGAUAUUUAAUAGAUAAUUUCAAGAUAUC